CACAGAGUGAAAGAGAUCUUUGGUUUUGCCUUUGCUGACUGCUGAUCUGAUCAUCUCAAGUCUGGUGACCUGCUGCAGAAAACCCUCUCCCUCUAUCAUUAACAAGCAAUUCAGUCUGUCCUAUCACUCUCCCUCUCCCUGCUCCAUCUUUUUUGACAAGCCAUUCUAUCUUCUAUCAUUUCUCCGCCACGAGCUCUAUCUAAGUUGACAAGCUUGAACCUGAGUUGAAAAGCAAAACAAGUUUGCCUGAAACCAAGUUUGAGAUAAACCAAGUUUGAGAUAAACCAAGUUUGAGAUAAACCAAGUUUGAGAUAAACCAAGUUUGAGAAGAAACCAAGUUUUUGGAAUUGAAGUUACCACAACUUCAUCGAUCUGUUUUCAGAAUUCGGAGAGAUCUCCGCUCUCACUGCUCCUUCUUUCCUGUCAUUAAACUUUCAUAUCCACUCAUUUUGCUGGAAAUUACAAGUAAAAAGUUGAAUAUACAGUAGUAGAAUUACAGUACAGUAGAACUCACAGUAGAAACUACUUACAGAGCCCUACAUUUGUCAUUUUAAUUUUGGAUUACACUUUGAAAUAAAUACUGAUAGUUUGGCUUACAAUUGCAAUUUGAUAAAUUAUAUAAACUUAUAUACACCUUUUUUUAGAUAUAUUUGUAGUAAGAUAAUCUGGUUAUUUUGUAAUUCAG
ensembl:lncRNA